AGCCCAUAGACCCAUGGUUAUAAUAGAGAUUGAGACGUGCUUGGUUCAUCCCACCCCGCAAAAGCAAACUUGGGGCCAUGGGGAAAAUAAGCUGGUUCUAGCAGUUUGGGAUAAUAGUUCUGGAUCUGUUUGGAAUGGCUCGGUGACCUUGACAAGCCACCAAUAUCAAAUUAAUUUUCACAUGAAGAUACAUCUGUCCCAGAGUUGAACAAGCCCCUGGAGCCAGAAGACUCUGAAGGGUUGGUCUUAAAGAAUAAGCUUCGUCUCCUUUUCCCUGUCUACCUGUGGAAUCAGAAGAAACUGCAUCAAAGAUCCUACAUCUCCUCAGGUUGGAGAGUCUGAAGAGUAACCUGGUCAAAUGCAGGAUGUUUAUUCAGUUUUCAAUGUCUCAUUGGGCCUGUUUGAUGAAAAGAUCUGGCAUUAGAGCAACAAUUACUUUAAUGAGAAGAGAUAAUGAAGCUCUCCUAAAGCAGACUCACCGUACCUUCAAUGUCUUCAAGAAAUGUUGACUUCCCGUCAAGAUGGCAGAAUAGGUAAAUGCUGUGUUCACCUCCUCCCACUACCACAUCAAAAUUGCAACUAAAUUAUAGAACAACCAUCACUGAGAAACACUUGAAGACUCGCUUAACAGAAGUCCUACAACUAAAGAUAUAAAGAAGACACGACUGGUAGGUGAGGCAGAAGCAGACCGGGUAGUUACCACACCCACGAUGUGGAUUAAGAAUCAUGAGGGAUAUCUGAGCUGCAGAGGUCCCCACACGGGGCUCCUCAGCUCAGGGAACCAGUGCUGGAAAGAGGCAUCUUCAAAGAAGCUGGCUGUAAAAACCAGCAAAGAUUGCAUCAGAGACGGAGGGCUGCUGGAGAGAUAGACGUCCUCUUAAAGUUCCAGCACACAGGCUCACUGUCUCUGGGCUUUAGCACAGGGGCAGCAGCUCAAAAGAUGCUAGGGACAUCCUAAGUGUCCUCAAACACAAGUAGAUAAGAGAGAAGCGGUACAUAUAUACAAUGGAAUAUUACUUAGCUAUAACAAAAAGAAGAAAAUCUUGCCACUUGCGACAAUAUGGAUGGACCUAGAGGAUGUUAUGCUAAGGGAAAUAAGUCAGAAAGAC